UCCUUUCGUUCCGGCGGCUCCUAGAGCGUUUGCUUUGUUCCCGAUAUGUCUCGUCCCUCCGGGGUUAACUUGCAGAUGGUGAGUUGAGUCCACACAGCACAAGUUUUUUUUUUGUUAACCUCUUAUCAAGUUUAGUCGCUGUAACCGCUCCUAGUCUCCAAGUGUUGCUUAUGGAGCGCGAUCCCCAGGUUGACCUUCGAAGACGUGAUUCAAGUGGAAAAGACGCCUUCUGCUUUGGCCUGGGAAGCUUUUUGCUGGUGUAAAUGAUGAACUCACUUUUUUCCCCGUCAUAUCGACAGUGCUGAUGUUUUAAAACAUUUGCCAGUUUGUCCUGAUAAACACCAGCCUUCGAGGACCCUGGUCUUCUUUGUUCCUGGUCGAGGAUAUAGGUGGUGAUGGACGCUUUUGUUUUGUAGGUUGACCUGACCAAGCAGGACAGCAUGGAGGUUGGAGGGAGAGAAGGGCAUCGAGGGAGAUGAGAACUCACCUACCAUCUGAAAGUCUUAAGGUUUGCUGACAGACAAAACCGGGCUUUGAAUGGAGCGUGAACUCCUGAGGCGAGCAUUGGUGAGUGGUUUCCACGUGUCCCUCUUCCAGUGUAUACUUUGUUUCUGACAUAAACUUGGCUGGUGAACUGAUGAUAUCAUUUCUUUCCCCGUCAGAUCGACCCUGUUGAUCUCAAAUACUAAUUGCCAGUUUUGUCUGAUGCAUCAGCCCCAGGAAUAAUUCAUUGUUGGCUUUAAUCUAUUUCACUUGAUAAUGGCUUCGAUUUAUUUUCUACAGGCCCGAGAGAGCCGAGGAUGCAGGUGUUGGUCUGAUCUUGAUUUCAGGUGAGGUUCUUUUACUGUUUUAACCUGUUUCUAGGGAUGUUAUAACAAGUGUGGAGAGUAACGGGUGUUUGAUUCUUGGCUUUUGCUGCUCUGUUCAUGCUGUUAAGGUUCCUGGUGGGAUUCAAGUUCACCAUGUUGCUUGCUAAGUGGGGGUGGGGGAUGUGUUCAGCCAGAAAAGCCUAUCAACAUUUUACUUUUCUUUUUAGGUACUUUUGGAAUACAGAAUACCAGAUGUGUUCCUGCUGCCCAGCCCCACAAGGCUAUGCAGAAUGCAAAGAAGAGUUACUUUUUGGCUGGGGAGUAGUGGUAUCAUGUGCACUAUUGCUGGAAAUAAUAAAUAUUGGCCUAUCUGUAGAAAUAAAAAUCUGACUAAUGAUAUUUA
rnacentral:lncRNA from 1 species